rnacentral:rRNA from 1 species
CCUACGGGAGGCAGCAGUAGGGAAUAUUGCUCAAUGGGGGUAACCCUGAAGCAGCAACGCCGCGUGGAGGAUGAAGGUUCUCGGAUUGUUAACCCUCUUUGAUAGAGAAGAUAAUGGCGGUACGUGUCGAAUAAGCACCGGCUAAAUCCGUGCAAGCAGCGUCGGCAAUACGGAGGGUGCAAGCGUUACUCGGAAUCACUGGGCGUAAAGAGCGCGUAGGCGGGAUAGCAAGUCAGAUGUGAAAUCCUAUGGUUUAACCAUAGAACUGCAGUUGAAACUGUUAUGCUAGAGUAUGGGAGAGGUAGGUGGAAUGCUUGGUGUAGGGGUGAAAUCCGUAGAGAUCAAGAAGAAUCCUGAUUGCGAAGGCAGCCUGCUAGAACAUAACUGACGCUGAUGCGCGAAAGCGUGGGGAGCAAACAGGAUUAGAUACCCGAGUAGUC